CCUACGGGAGGCAGCAGUGAGGAAUAUUGGACAAUGGACGAGAGUCUGAACCAGCCAAGUAGCGUGAAGGAUGACUGCCCUAUGGGUUGUAAACCUCUUUUAUAAAGGAAUAAAACGAGGCACGUGUGCCCUUUUGCAUUUACUUUAUCAAUACAGAUCGCCGAACGCCGGUCCAGCAGCCCCGGUAAUACGGAGGAUCCGAGCGUUAUCCGGAUUUAUGGGGUUUAAAGGGAGCGUAGCUGGGUGGUUAAGUCAGUGGUGAAAGUUUGCGGCUCAACCGUAAAAUUGCAAUUGAUACUGGGAGUCGAGAGUACAGUAGAGGUAAGCGGAAUGCGUGGUGGAGCGGUGAAAUGCGUAGAGAUCACGAAGAACCCCGAUGGCGAAGGCAGCUGACUGGACUAUGACUGACGUUGAGGCGCGAAAGUGUGGGUAUCAAACAGGAUUAGAUACCCUGGUAGUC
rnacentral:rRNA from 1 species